ensembl:lncRNA
CAUUGCUGAGUGCUGAGGUCCUGAGCAGCCUCUGAGCCACCCCGCUGUGCUCUGCAUUGCCCCAGUCCGCUGUCCCUGUCCAGCCUGGCACCCAAGCCUUGUCUGCAGCCCCACAUCACAACUCCAUGUGGUGAAACCCCAGCACCAGGCUGCGGUCAGAGCUGUUCACACCUCCACCAGAGGUGUGAGAUGGGGCGGCAAGGUGCCAGCCCCACGGGUGCACCCCGUGAAUAGGGGCAGACUGCAGGUGCCAUGCCAACCCCAGGCUCCAGAGCUGGCACUGAUGCUGCCAACAGCCUCUAUUGGCUGAAUAUUGAUUUCGGAGGCUGAUUGCAGUUUAAUGAAUACGGAGCAAGAGAGAUGCAGACCUGGGUGACUUAAUGAUGUGCUUCCAUAAGAAGCUCUGCAUGAUGCCCCAUGCACCCUGCUCACCCCAUGCAUGGGAUGGACCUAUGAGGACUCCCUCGAGGAACUGAAUCGAAGAACAAAACCAUCGUCCAGCUGGCAUCAUUUCCUCCCUCCAGCCUGGCACGCCCCACUCAUUGGUCCCCCAGUCAUCUCUUCACUUCUCUCUUUCUUUCCGUUGGGUCUGGGUGCCUCCUUCGGAGGUGGUGGCUAAUCAUUGCACUUAAAAAGGCACUGCUUCCCCAUUGCUGGCCAGUAAGGAAGUCGCUCGCGCGCCCUGCAGCACCGCUCGGCGGCACCCGGACAUGCGGCACAACGCGCGGCCCCUGGGCGUGCUGGCAGCCGUGGCCAAGGGACUCCUCCUGCUCUGGGCCGUGCCCACACGCAGCACUCAGCCCCCAUCCCCGCAGCAGACCCAGGCCUUGGUGCGGCACAUGGCCGAGGACGCGCAGGAGCUCUUCCAACUCUACGAGCAGGAGCAGCACUUGGCCCACAACUUGUGCCGGGCCAACAUCUCCCUGGAGUGGCUGCGGGGGACUCUGGGGCCACGGCAGAAGGAUCUGCGAGCUCUGCACAGCGCCAUGACCCGCAUGGAGAAGGAGCUGCAGGACAUCACCCGGCAUCAAAGCGACCUCCAUCCACCCGAUGCCGCCAUCCUGCGCCGCCUCGGCAGCGCCCACAUGAAGGUGCGCGGGCUGCUGACCCACCUGCAGGACACCAUGGAGGCUCGUGGCAUCAUCCCCUCCACCAUCCCCCUGUCCCGGCGGCUGGCGGCCAGCAGUGUGUUCCAGCAGAAGCUGGAGGGCUGCCGUGUGCUCUGGAACUACGCCCGCUUCAUGGCCAAGCUCAGCGCACAGAUAGAGGCCAGCAGCACGCGGGCACGGCGUGAGGAGAGGGGACGGCGGAGGGGCAGGCGGCGGGGAUGGAGGACAAGCAGACCCUAAAGGAAACCUCUACUUGGACAUAGAGCUGUGCCCGGUGCUGGCACCGGGGUCACUGUGGGUUGGUGACAGCCCGCCCUGCCGGAUUUUCCAGUGAUUCAAUGGGUCCAGUGACAUGGCCUGACUAAGGGGCCCAACACCCGCACACAGCACAGCAUUGGCUGCGAGUGCCACCCAUCUGCCCCCUGCAACCCCCACUGCCAUCUCAGGGUGGUUGGUGACCCUGGAGCUCAGAGCCCCUACGAGCUUGGUGUCCUUCCCCUCCUCAUGUCCUUCCCAUCAUCUUGGUGUCCUCCCCAUCUUGGUGUCGUUCCCCUCCUGGUGUCCCCACUCACCUGGUGUCUCUGUGAGCUUGGGGUCCCUAUUAUCAUUGGGUCCCUUCAAGCUUGGUGUCCUUGCAAGCUUUGAGUCCCCACUCCCUUGGUGUCCCUUCACGUUCAGUGUCCCCACUCAAUUGGUGACUGCACUCACUUGACACCCCUACAAGCUUGGGGUCCCUACUAAUUAGUGAGUGGUGGCCCCACACACUUGACAUCCCCACCCGAUGUCUCCACCCAGCACACUGAGCUCACCUCUGUGCUUUCCUCCUCACCCCUGCUCACUCUCUGUCCUCAUUGUCCCUGUGCCCACCCAUCCCCUCCUCACCCCACACCCCCAGUUGCCCCCCGUUGUUUUUCACAGCCCUGUGCUCUGGCAGUGAUCACUGACCCCCCCAUAACUUAUACAUGACAGUGGCACCUGUAUUUAUUGAAGCCAUCACAUUAAUUUAAUGCAUCCCCACACUGGGGACGAGUAUUUAAGUUUACACUUUUAAUAUAUAAAUGGAUAUCUAUUUUUGUUAUAUAUAUAUUUUUAAUUAUUAUUGUAUCAUGUUAAAGUGUAAAUGUGAUAAUAUUUUAUUUAUGAACCCAAACAUGGUUUUGUACUGGCAGAAGGGCACUGACCCUUUAUUUUUCUAUGGCAGCAGAUGGAAAUAAAGUCUUGACCUCGGCCUGUGGGCCGAUGCUC